UUUAUAUUUGGAUUCUUUUGACGAAAAACCCUACUCUUGUUCUUCGCUUCAGGUAGCGCCAUGGCCGCGAGGUUUCUCCUUUCCAGAGCAUCCCUAAACCUACGUUCCUCCCCCUCUCACUUCGGUUCGAGUUUCCCGUCGGCCGCCGCCAACGCCUUCUGCGACUUGUUCCGACCCUUCGGUGGUCGGACCGUUCCUCCGGCCUCUUCAAGGUCCAUGGUCUCCGUCUCAUCUCCAUGGCUCGACCUCGCCGAGGACAUCUCCCCUUCUCUGGACGUCGACGGAAGGGUUCCCGCCACUGUUAUCACUGGAUUCCUUGGUUCCGGAAAGACAACAUUACUGAACCACAUCUUGACCUCACAACAUGGGAAGAGAAUUGCUGUCAUUGAGAAUGAGUUUGGGGAGGUGGAUAUUGAUAGUUCAUUGGUUGCUAAUCAUUCUUCUGUUUCCGAGGACAUUGUUAUGGUUAACAAUGGUUGCCUCUGUUGCACUGUGAGAGGAGAUUUGGUUAAAAUGCUUUUGAAGCUUGCUAAAGAAAAGCGUGACAAGUUUGACCACAUAGUUAUAGAGACAACAGGACUUGCAAAACCUUCUCCUGUUAUAGAAACUUUCUAUACAGAUGAUUUGGUUGCACAGCAUGUGAAACUUGAUGGUGUUGUUACUUUGGUGGAUUCUAAGCAUGCUAUGAAACAUUUGAAUGAAGUUAAAUCGAGAUGGGUUGUGAAUGAAGCGGUAGAACAAGUUGCAUAUGCAGAUCGUAUUAUAUUAAACAAGACAGAUUUGGUGAAUGAGACUGAAUUGGAUGCACUAGCUAAGAAAAUCAAGCACAUAAAUGGGAUGGCACAAAUUAAACAAGCGCAAUUUGGAUCUGUGGAUAUAGAUUUCGUUUUGGGAAUAGGUGGAUAUGAUUUGGACCGAAUUGAAUCUGAUGUUCAGAUUGAUGUCAGCCAUAACACUAGUCAUCAAUGCAGCCAUGAUCAUGAUCACCAUAGGGAUCAUCAUCAUGGUCAUGUGCACGAUUCAGCUGUAACUAGCGUCAGUAUAGUUUCUGAGGGGACUUUGGAUCUCGAUGAGGUUAACGACUGGCUUGAGAGACUAGUCGAUGAAAAAGGUGAAGACUUGUACAGGCUGAAAGGUGUCCUAUCAGUAAAUGACUCGACCGGCCGCUAUGUAGUUCAGGGGGUGCACUCCAUGUUGGACGGCUGUCCUGCAAAGCCAUGGGGGGAAGGUGAGAAGCCGAUCAACAAACUUGUGUUCAUCGGUAGGAACUUGGACGAGACGGCUUUGCGAAAUGCCUUCAGGGGGUGUUUGCUAUAGAUGAAACUUCUCAAAGAUGGCCUUGUUUUUGGUAGCAUGUUGUCAUAAUUUUCAUAUUUAUAUUAUUUAAAAACAAUUUGGUCUCAUCUUUUAUUCAUUUUAUUAGAUUUACAGAAAUUAUUCAUACAUAAAAUAUAGCAACGGAAGCAAUUCACUGAUAACCCAGCGGCGCCGGUGUAUCCUUCAGCUCCAUUCCCUGGCAAUGUAUGUCCUGCAAUCCCCAACAUCACAUGAACAACCAUAUCAUUCGUUGAAUGAAUAGGUGAAGCACGCAAUUAAAUGGGGAAUUUUAACGAUCUUAAAGUUUCGAGGAAGUGAGAUUAUCGGUAGCGUACCGAGGCGAAGUGAUUGACGUCGCGGUGGUGCGCCUCGUCUGCUCGGAUGACGGCGACGACGUCCUUGAGGGUGGCUUCGGGCGGGAGGCACCAGUAGUCGAUGGCGAUGGCGGGGGCGGGGACGUUCUCGACGGCGCCGGCCUCGAGGUCCUUGAGGUAUUCGGUGUAGGAGUAGACGGCCUCCUCCUCCAGGUAUCCGACGACUCGGUGGGCGAAUUUGGGCGACACCAGGUAGCCCACAAAGUAGGCGUUGAAAAGGACGCCCUGCACCGCCAGGACCAGCGCCCGCUCGUACCACCGCGGCCGCGCCACCUCCAUGAACGUCAUCAGGUGCAUCCGCUCGUUCUCCGCCUCCUCCAGCAGCGCCCGGAUCCACCCACCGCUGUGCUCGAAGCGGCGAAGCGAGCGUAGGUGGAGUAGCAUGCCUCCCACCAUCCCCGGCACCGCCGCUACCGUCUCCAGCAACAGCGCAUGGUAUACAUGUCGCCUCUGUUUCCAGACCAAGAUUAACCAUAAAUAAAUAAAUAAAAUCUUCCCAAAUUUUGGGAAGGGACCAA